rnacentral:lncRNA from 1 species
UGCAGGAAGGUAUGUGAACCUGAAAAUGUGAGACUUUCUCAGUUAAUUGAGAAAGUUGAUUUUGCCAGGGUUGAGGGUGCGCACUGUGACACAGCCUCAGAGGUCCUGACGACAUGUGCCCAAGGUAGUCGGGGCACAGCUUUGUUUUAUACAUUUUAGGGAGACAUGAGACAUCAGUCAAUAUGUGUAAGAUGUACAUUGGUUCAGUCCAGAAAGGUGGGACAACCGGAGGCAAAGGCCAGGCAACUCGAGGUGGGGAGAGGCUUUUGGGUCAUAGGUAGGUAAGAGACAAAUGGUUGGAUUUUUUUGAGUCUCUGAUGAGCCUCUUCAAAUGAAGCAAUCAGAUAUGCAUCUAUCUCAGUGAGCAGAGGGGUGACUUUGAAUAGAAUAGGAGGCAGGUUUGCCUUAAGCAGUUCCCAGCUUGACUUUUCCCUUUAGCUUAGUGAUUUGGGGCCCCCAGAUUUAUUUUCCUCUCACAGUUACAUCAUACUUCUCUCAAAGCAACCUCUGUUUCCCAGUCCUCUUUAGCCCUAGAUGCAUUUUUCAUCUCCUCCCUUUUUUGGAACAAGAAGAGGAAUCCUGUGUACAGAGGCCCUUAUAUCUUGGAUACCAACAAUCCCUGCUUCUAUGCAGAACGCACUUAAAAAGCAUGUGGAUUCUGGCAUGUGUUCUAAAUGGCUCAUUAAUCAUGCACUUUCUUAAGAAGGAUUCUAAAGAGUUCAAAUUUGCUGGGGAGCAUUCUCCGUCUCCCCUCAGGUGGACUAGCAAGUACAGAGUCUUCAGUUCUUUCAUCUAUUUAUAGCUCAGAGAAGCCACCCGGAUGGGGAUGAUGAGGAUGUGUGAUUCCUAAGGAGAAAUCACUCAAAUUCAUGAAGAUUCUCCCUCUGCCUUUAUAAUGUAGGCACAUCGUUAAAUGCACUUUGUUGAAGCUAUGCUAAAAUGUUGGACAUUUCACUGGAUAAACAAAACAAUAAAAACAGUCAAGAUGGUUUUCUAGUUAUGAGACUCUGAAUACUCUACUUGAAUUUAGCAGGGUUUAGGUAUAUGUGGAUGUUGUUGCUUCCUUCCUCCUCCCUCACUUCCUUCCUCAUUUUCUCUGUCUGUAUCUUUGUAAUGAGGCCAUGCAUGUUACUGGGAAAUAUAGUAGAUUUGGAGGCAGGCUUGGGUUCCCAUCCAAGGUCCAUCACUCACAAUUGUGUGACCCCCACACACAUUAUGUGACUGUUCUGGCUCUUAGUAAUUGAAGGAUAACAAUAAAGUAGAGAAAAAUUGUAUAAGAUUAUAUAUAAAUGGAUAAGAUUAUAUAUAAAUUGUAUAAGAUAAUAUAUAAAUGGAUAGAUGGAUGAUGAAUGGAUGGAUCGAUGGAUAAAUGGAUGUAUAAAUAGAUGGAUGGAUGAAUAGAUGGAUGAAUGGAUAAAUAGACGGAUGGAUGGAUAAAUGGAUGGAUGGAUGGAUGGAUAGAUGAAUGAAUGAAUAGAUGGAUGAAUGGAUAGAUAGCUAGAUGGAUAGUUGGAUGGAUGGAUGGAUAGGUAGAUAGAUGAUAGAUGAAUAGAGUCUACAGGACAGUGUAUAAUAGAUCACAGACUUUUUUCAUUCUUUUUUUGUUUUUUUCUUUUUUAGUGAUGAAGUCUCACUCUGUCACCCAAGCUGGAGUGCACUGGUGUGAUCAUAGCUCAUUGCAGCCUGGAACUCUUGGGCUCAAGCAGAUAUUAGAACACAGGGAAUGAGUUGACCAGUGACCCAGCUGCUGCACUCAGAAAUCUACCAACCACCAUGUUUCCAUGGAGGCCAAGCUUUCCCCACUGCUCCCAGGGAGUGAUUGAGCGUGGCAGGAUUCUCAGGCAAGCCCACUCCUGGGAAAUGCACCACUCCUGUCAUGGGCGCCCCAUCAGCUUUGCAGAAACUUUUGCAGAACCUUGUUCAAAGUCUUUCCCUUCUUCACUGGUGCUAGACUUGCACUGAGGUCUGAUGACUGUCCUGGACUUUGCUGGCUCCCUUCCCAUUUUCUGUAGCAGAAUUUUCCCUAAUAAAUCACUUGCACUCUU